GGCUCUCUGGCGGAACGGUAGACGCAGCGGAUUCAAAAUCCGCCGACCAUAAAUCGUCCGAGUUCGAGUCUCGGGAGAGCCACCA
rnacentral:tRNA from 1 species